UACGUAGGGUGCAAGCGUUAAUCGGAAUUACUGGGCGUAAAGCGUGCGCAGGCGGUUUUGUAAGUCUGUCGUGAAAUCCCCGGGCUCAACCUGGGAAUUGCGAUGGAGACUGCAAGGCUAGAAUCUGGCAGAGGGGGGUAGAAUUCCACGUGUAGCAGUGAAAUGCGUAGAGAUGUGGAGGAACACCGAUGGCGAAGGCAGCCCCCUGGGUCAAGAUUGACGCUCAUGCACGAAAGCGUGGGGAGCAAACAGGAUUAGAAACCCCUGUAGUCC
rnacentral:rRNA from 1 species